rnacentral:rRNA from 1 species
CUACGUGCCAGCAGCCGCGGUAAUACGGAAGGUCCAGGCGUUAUCCGGAUUUAUUGGGUUUAAAGGGAGCGUAGGCUGGAGAUUAAGUGUGUUGUGAAAUGUAGACGCUCAACGUCUGAAUUGCAGCGCAUACUGGUUUCCUUGAGUACGCACAACGUUGGCGGAAUUCGUCGUGUAGCGGUGAAAUGCUUAGAUAUGACGAAGAACUCCGAUUGCGAAGGCAGCUGACGGGAGCGCAACUGACGCUUAAGCUCGAAGGUGCGGGUAUCAAACAGGAUUAGAUACCCUGGUAGUCCGCACAGUAAACGAUGGAUGCCCGCUGUUAGCGCCUGGCGUUAGCGGCUAAGCGAAAGCAUUAAGCAUCCCACCUGGGGAGUACGCCGGCAACGGUGAAACUCAAAGGAAUUGACGGGGGCCCGCACAAGCGGAGGAACAUGUGGUUUAAUUCGAUGAUACGCGAGGAACCUUACCCGGGCUUGAACUAACGGUGACGAAUCUAGAGAUAG